rnacentral:rRNA from 1 species
GAUCAUGGCUCAGGACGAACGCUGGCGGCACGCUUAACACAUGCAAGUCGAACGAGAGAAGAGAAGCUUGCUUUUCUGAUCUAGUGGCGGACGGGUGAGUAACACGUGAGCAAUCUGCCUUUCAGAGGGGGAUACCGAUUGGAAACGAUCGUUAAUACCGCAUAACAUAAUUGAACCGCAUGAUUUGAUUAUCAAAGAUUUAUCGCUGGAAGAUGAGCUCGCGU